UGGGCAACCUGCUCUCAGCUCUGGGAUAACUCCGGGAAACCGGGGCUAAUACCGGAUAUGACCUUGGUCGACAUCGACCGGGGUGGAAAGAAUUUCGGCUGAGGAUGGGCCCGCGGCCUAUCAUGCUUGAUGGUGGGGUAACGGCCCACCAUGGCGACGACGGGUAGCCGGCCUGAGAGGGCGACCGGCCACACUGGGACUGAGACACGGCCCAGACCUCCGUACGGGA
rnacentral:rRNA from 1 species